AUGAUACUGAAUGAAAUGCCCCAUUAUUGAAGUCUGAUUUUGGAGCAAGGUCUGCACCUAGAAAUAUUGGAUGAUGAAGAAGGUUCAAGGUUCAGCAAACUUUUCAGCCUUCCCAGUUCCAGAUCUGAAGUUGGUGCAGUCUCCAGUUGUUUUUUUUUUUCUCAAGCAUUAUAUCUACCACUCACGAUUCAAGUAGAUAUAAACAUCUAGGUAUAAGUCUUAUAACUCCCCUAACAACCAAUACAUAGAGAGCAAACAGAUCAAUAACAGUGUCCGUCCACAAAAGAUUAUCACGGCACAUAAAUCGUAACCUACCAUUAAUCAAGUGCUCUAGAAUCUUUUGAUGCAUUAUCUUUUCCUCUCCUGAACCGAGUAAGGUGUUCAUGAUACUCUUCCAGCUGCUCCUCCAAUUUUUCGAUAAACUCACUUGUAUGCUCAAGGGAUUGUUCAUAUUUAUACUUCUCCAAGGCCUAAAGAAAAGCAAAGAUUAAGGUCAUGAUAGAACAGACAUUGCAGCAGCUUUCUUCAUAUACCAGAUCAAACACCAAUAGAAUGUAAAGUUACCUUUGUCUUCGACAGUGUAUCAGGAGGAGACAUAACUUCUGGUCGCACAUAAUUCUUUCCACGAUAAAAUAUUACAGUGUUGUCAGGUUUUAUGUCAAUAACAAUACCUUUGCUCAGCCGAGCAAGCUCUUCAGCAAUUUCAUGAACCUGUCCAGGUUUACAGGGUUUGCAAACAACCUUAACUGUUUCAUGCUUUUUCCAAUGCAGAUGCAUAUUGAGUACAACUCCUCCAAAGACUCCUCUUCUCCCAACAGGUACAUAAUUCUUCUUUUUCUCGCCCGUA